UUCUUCAAGAAAUGCUCUUAUACGAUUGAAGCACUUUCUAAUUAUGACUUGAAUAUGUCCAUUCUGGAUAACUUCAACGCCAUAUCUAACAAAAUUUUUAGCUGAAUAUGAAAUAAUGUUACUUGUUAUGCAAUUUCCCUGCACUUCAGCGAAUGAGUUGAUGUUUCGGCAGCACAUUUCAAUUGCUCCAUGAAAAUUGCAUAAUGAAAUAUUUGGACUAAUGUCCUAGUAGACGCUGAUAGAGAUAUUUUCUCCAGAACAAAAUAUACGUGUAUACGAAAUAUACAAAAUGAAGUAGACGAUUGUACAAGACGAAACAUACGUAUAUGACAUCAUGUGGGCAAAGCAAUUGUUAGGUAGAUCUACGAUGU